CAGUAGCCGCGGGAAUACGAGGGGGGCAAACGUUGUUCGGAAUUAUUGGGCGUAAAGUGUGCGUAGGCGGUUUGGCAAGUUUGGUGUGAAAUCUUCGGGCUCAACUCGAAGUCUGCAUCGAAAACUGCCGGGCUUGAGUAUGGGAGAGGUGAGUGGAAUUUCCGGUGUAGCGGUGAAAUGCGUAGAUAUCGGAAGGAACACCUGUGGCGAAAGCGGCUCACUGGACCAUAACUGACGCUGAGGCACGAAAGCUAGGGGAGCAAACAGGAUUAGAUACCCCAGUAGUCCCUGUCUCUUAUAC
rnacentral:rRNA from 1 species